CCGAGUUAUCAACUCCCAAACCCCUGUGAACAUACCUGAACGUUGCCUCGGCGGGACCGCCCCGGCGCCCAACUCGCGGCCCGGACCCAGGCGCCCGCCGGAGGACCCAAACUCGUUGUUACUGUCGUCUGAGUAUCAUACCAAUAGUCA
rnacentral:misc_RNA from 1 species